AGAGCUGCAUUGCAAGCCAGACAAGAUUCAUUAUGAUCUCAUCACCUCAAGUUUACGCUUUCCCUCUGGAUCGCAAGACGUUAUUCCUGGUAAUCACAACAAUUAUUACUGCCAUCGUUUUUCUCAUCAUUAUUGGACUGCUCAUUUUUCAUGAAGUCUGCCGAAAGCUGGAGGAAUUUAUCCCUCCCCAGGUGGAAGAAUCAUGGAGGUAUAGAACUGAACACAUUGAAAUUUAAGCUUCAGCAACAGAUUCCAAUUGUCAGCACCUGACUAUCAUCUUAUCUGAAAUCUGAACCUCCUUAGGAC
ensembl:lncRNA